rnacentral:rRNA from 1 species
GGCCCUACGGGGCGCAGCAGGCGCGAAAACUUUACAAUGCGGGAAACCGUGAUAAGGGGACACCGAGUGCCAGCAUCAUAUGCUGGCUGUCCAGAUGUGUAAAAUACAUCUGUUAGCAAGGGCCGGGCAAGACCGGUGCCAGCCGCCGCGGUAACACCGGCGGCCCGAGUGGUGAUCGUGAUUAUUGGGUCUAAAGGGUCCGUAGCCGGUUUGGUCAGUCCUCCGGGAAAUCUGAUGGCUCAACCAUUAGGCUUUCGGGGGAUACUGCCAGGCUUGGAACCGGGAGAGGUAAGAGGUACUACAGGGGUAGGAGUGAAAUCUUGUAAUCCCUGUGAGACCACCUGUGGCGAAGGCGUCUUACCAGAACGGGUUCGACGGUGAGGGACGAAAGCUGGGGGCACGAACCGGAUUAGAUACCCGGGUAGUCCCAGCCGUAAACGAUGCUCGCUAGGUGUCAGGCAUGGCGCGACCGUGUCUGGUGCCGCAGGGAAGCCGUGAAGCGAGCCACCUGGGAAGUACGGCCGCAAGGCUGAAACUUAAAGGAAUUGGCGGGGGAGCACAACAACGGGUGGAGCCUGCGGUUUAAUUGGACUCAACGCCGGACAACUCACCGGGGACGACAGCAAUAUGUAGGCC